GUGACUGCGGAGGAUCAUUAGAGAGAGGGUGUGAGUGCGAGUUGUAUGGCGUAAGCCGUACACGACACUUGCACACGAAACUUGCUCUCGCAAGAGAGUGAGCAACCAUUAACUAGAACUAUUGACAUUUAUCAUCUAAUUUAAUAUUACUUUUAACAACGGAUCUCUGGGCUCCCGCAACGAUGAAGAACGCAGUGAAAUGCGAAACGUAAUGCGAUUUGCAGUGUCUGUGAGUCAUCGAGUCUUUGAACGCACUUGGCACCAAGUGAGAACUUGGUGUACCUGUUUGAGCAGAGUAAGAAUGUGAAUUGAUGAGUCUCACAGCCAGUGUGUGACUUGGAAGGCAUUUCUUGAGGCUACAGCGAGUAGCAGCAGUGACAUGAGUUGAAUGAGCCGUGGCCCAUUUUCGUGUGACUGCUGGUGCGAGCUGUAGACAAACUUCUUGACCCCACUCUACUUUUACAAUCUCUCUCAGAUCAGGCAAGAUUACCCGCUGAACUUAA
rnacentral:misc_RNA from 1 species